ensembl:lncRNA
AAAGAAGUUACUCCAGCCAGAGAGCCCACAACAUGAGUGUGAUUAGAUUUACAUGUUAAAAAAGACUAUAGAAAUAUCAACUGGUACUUUGCAAGAUGCAGACAUUUUGAUUGAGACUAGAGAUGUGAAGAAGUGUUCAGAUGGAGAAGAUUGGAGAAGCUGGCUGAAGAAAUGGGAGAGACAAUGCCUUCGUCUGCCAGUGGGCCUCUAAAACUUCAUGUGUUUACCAAAACUGGAUAGUGGAUCACUGCUAGCAGACCUCAUUCCAGAGAUCUCACAACGCACCACUAAACCCUUGGACCUUAUGCACUUUACAUCUUCUACAGGACAUCUGUCCAGUCCUCUCCUCCUAGCAGUGCCUAUGUGGCUCUCCUGGCACCCUCCCACUGAGCCUUCUCUACAGCUAUGGCAAGUGUAAUAUUCCUCAGUUCCUCCUUCAGAAAGCAUCUGUAAAAUGCUUUAUCUGUGGUAUGACUGUUUAGAAAGUCAGUGGUUUUCUAGAAAGAGGAAACUGGUGAAAUCAGAGUAAACUGACAGAGAUCUUAGUGUGUUGCUGUGAUGCGAGGUAAGGAAUGUAUUUUAUUAUGGAUUUUUUUUUUCUACAUGACCAGUAAAGGAAACGCUUCUGUUGGGGACAUAUUGAAUAAUAUUUUUUAAAUGGAAGUUAUAUCAAAAGGAAUAACUUCAUUGAAUUUGAAGGUUUUGGGCAAACAGUAUGAAUGGGAACAAGACGAG